GCUCAGAACGAACGCUGGCGGCGUGCUCACACAUGCAAGUCGAACGAACCUUCGGGUUAGUGGCGGACGGGUGAGUAACGCGUGAGAAUCUGCCCUCAGGAGGGGGAUAACGGUUGGAAACGACCGCUAAUACCCCAUAUGCCGAGAGGUGAAAAGAAAUUCGCCUGAGGAUGAGCUCGCGUCUGAUUAGCUAGUUGGUGUGGUAAUGGCGCACCAAGGCUUCGAUCAGUAGCUGGUCUGAGAGGAUGAUCAGCCACACUGGGACUGAGACACGGCCCAGACUCCUACGGGAGGCAGCAGUGGG
rnacentral:rRNA from 1 species